AUUGAACGCUGGCGGAAUGCUUUACACAUGCAAGUCGAGCGGCAGCGCGGGGGCAACCCUGGCGGCGAGCGGCGAACGGGUGAGUAACAUAUCGGAACGUACCCAGUCGUGGGGGGAUAACUAUCCGAAAGGAUAGCUAAUACCGCAUACGACCUGAGGGUGAAAGCGGGGGACCGAAAGGCCUCGCGCGAUUGGAGCGGCCGAUAUCGGAUUAGCUAGUUGGUGAGGUAAAGGCUCACCAAGGCGACGAUCCGUAGCUGGUCUGAGAGGACGACCAGCCACACUGGAACUGAGACACGGUCCAGACUCCUACGGGAGGCAGCAGUGGGGAAUUUUGGACAAUGGGGGCAACCCUGAUCCAGCCAUGCCGCGUGAGUGAAGAAGGCCUUCGGGUUGGUUAAAGUACGUACUUUUC
rnacentral:rRNA from 1 species